rnacentral:misc_RNA from 1 species
AGUCGUAACAAGGUAUCCGUAGGUGAACCUGCGGAUGGAUCAUUAGCAAAGCAAAUAUAGUUUUGUAAGUAUUGUGAACAGUUUUGAAUGUGGGCAGCAGUUGGGUGUUUUGUCGGGUGUAUGUUGAUGUAUGUUGAUGUAUGUUGAUGUAUGUUGAUGUAUGUCGAUGUAUGUCGAUGUAUAUGUCGAUGAAGGGCUGGCUGCGCCGGGUUUGUACACGUAUUGUGCGCGACGACUGACGUCUACUUUAGUAGUGUAAAGUACAGACAACUUUUAGCAACGGAUCUCUUGGCUCUC